rnacentral:lncRNA from 1 species
GCAAGCUACACCUGUAGCUUUAGCACUCAGUCAUAGCAACACAAUCAGGGGGGCAGCGACUGCGCAUGACCGCGGCUGAACGACUCGCUGCUGAGGCGGAUAAGUACAAAGAGGCUGCUGGUGGUGGUGCAGACGGGACAUGCUGUGUGCCACGGGGCUGAAGUAUAACCUUGUUGAAGUUUUACGUUAAGUUACUACCUCAACUGGACGAUUUGUCCUCCAAGAAUUUAACUCCAAGGGCAAGCAGAGAGGAGGUGUUGCAUUCAAGUCCAAAAACAGCGUGUGGAGACAUUUGGCGUCGGUCUGCAGGUUGCAUGGUAAUCUGGAUUUGAUGCAUGGCAGUUGCAUGACCACAGUAGGUCUUGUUGUGGGACUAAGAGCACACAGCUGCAGCCAUGGCACAAACCAUGCACGUGAAUGGCAAUGGCCCAGAAUGUGAAAAAUGUUGAGGAAUGCUACGCCCCCCUCUGCAGUGUUGGCAGUAAACAUGCCAACGUGGUCACCUGCUGCAGCGAAAGAAUUUCAAGAAGACAGAGAAACUUAACCUUUUAGUGUAGAGAUGCUCCCCUGUAGUGGGUAAUCUCUAAAUGAUUAAGUUGGGGGGAUCAGUUGGUCGGCCUAAUAUCUUGAGGAAACUAAUCUCACAUUGACUUCUCUGCAUCUGUGUUGUUGGUUUUAGAAACCGAAAUAUUACCAGUUGUAAAGUUUUUUGUUUUGUUUGCUGGUAUCCAUUUUCUUUAAAGGUUUACUCUUUAUUCCAUUCGGCCUGUAAAAUAUUUCUAUAAUGUCGUCUUUUCCUCUGGAGGAGCUUUUGUGCUAUGCAGGGUAAGAGUCUAAUGAAAUGGUAGUGAGUUGCAUUAUGGGAUGUGUAGUAUCCAGUGUUUUCUGAGCAUACUGUUUUUUGUAGCCUUGCCAGCUUAUCUACUUGUGCUGUAUACAGUGAAGAAGUGCCCAACAUAAUAAUCUUUAAUUUAGUAAAACUCUCCACAGCAA